UCAGUGGAUUAAGCAUCCAGCCUUGCCGUGAGCUGUGGUGUAGGUCGCAGAGGCAGCUUGGAUCUGGCAUUGCUGUGGCUGUGGCACAGGCUGGCAGCUACAGCUCUGAUUCGACCCUUAGCCUGGGAACCUCCAUAUGCCAUGGGUGCAGCGCUCAAAAGCCAAAAAAAAAAAAAAAAAAAAAAAGUUGAAAACAAUGGGUUCACGUCUGAGUCUGGGUGAAGGUCCCAGCUCAUGGGCUCAAGUCACAAUCUGAGUUGUGCAGUUUCCCUAGGAGAGGGAGGACUGAAGGAUGCGUGGGGCCUACAGAUGGGUAUAGGGGUCUGGGUGUUCGCUUUCCUGCUGUGGGAUGGACUGGGCUGGGGACAGGGGUCCCGUUUCACCGGCUGCUUUCGGGGAUGGAGGUAGGGACUAGUGGGCGGAGGGUGGGAGCCAGAGGCGCCAUUUGCUGGUUUGCCUCUGGGGUCAGUGGCCUGCGUGGUGGGGUUACAGAGAUGCUCCUCCCUGGGGGAGACACACCCCCUCACGCACACCACGGGCCGUCUCCCUGCCAGACACGCAGGGACAUCCCCCCCCAGCACUCCACCCAUGCCCAGAACAGAACACCCAGCCAGAUUUCCCAGUCUGACCUUUGCCCAGCGUGGCCUAGAAUCACCCAGGCCAUCAGGAGGAACCAAGGGGGCCAGUGGAAGCCCAGGCUGCCGUUUGUCUCCCAUCCCUGCCUUGUUGGUGUGGGGGGGGUCUGGCUGGGUGUCUGCUUUCCUGCUGUGGGAUGGACUGGGCUGGGGACGGGGUUCCCAUGUCAUCUUCCUUGGCCCUUCCCCUCCUUCUUCCCAAGUGGCUGGGAUGUCUCACGGGCCCACGUCCCCCGCUCUCCAGCACAGGCUCCGUACCUGCUGAUUGCCAGUGGGCCUCUCCUGUCCUGGAUGUGCUGCAGGCUUCCCCCAGGACCUGGCCUGCACCCAGCUAGGGUUGCCAGGUACGUUUGCGUUGCGGCUAAACGGCGACUACAUUUUCACACACACACACACAGAAGUGCAUCCCUUCCAAGCUGCGCGCUUACAGUGAAAGAUCAUGUGUUGUUUAUCUGAAACUGACAUUGCACUGGGUGUCGUGUAUUUGGUUUACCAGGUCUAAUGACCCUAACCCGCACCCCACCUACCCCAGGGAGACAGGCCAAGGGAGAAGGGGGGACCAAAGAAGGGCCCAGAGGCUGAGACCACCACCCCUUCCCCCUCUGGCCAUCCCCCCUCUCCCUCCAGCUGCCCACACCUUCCAGGAACUGCUAGCGGGCUGGUCAAUGGGUUUCCCUCCAGAAUAGAUGAUUCUGGUUUAUCAGGCUCCCGGUGGGGAGGGCUGGCUUCCGAAGGGCGUUGGAACAGGCCCUUCUGCCCAUGGAUUUCCCCCCACUGUUUUCCAGGGACUUGGGAGAGGCUGGUGCCAAGGAAAUCGCUUUAUCUUCCUCUCCUGGUCUGGGCCCGAGCCCCCCUCCCUGAGGCUGGAUGUGCCAGGGCUCCCUUCCUGCAGCCGGGCUCCCACCCAUCAUCCCAGCCACCUCGUGCGGAAGGGAGCCCUCAGGCAGCGCCUGGCUGCCGUCUCGGGGGUGCGGUCUGAAGGGGCGCGAUGCCAGGGUUUUAUUUACAAACUGAGAGACUCAAGAGGAGCGGGACCGUCAGGGCGGGAACGCCCGUCCAGCUCACAGCCUGGGGUGCAGGCAGAGAAGGAUCUGGAGGCCGGUAGCUGGCCACAUCCCCUGGGUUCACAUUAGACACCUUUCCCCUUGUAACCUCCCAGAUCUGUUUACCUUCGAGAACACUAUUCCCAGGCCUCAUCUGUUACGCAAGGCCCUGGUUUAAGUACUUUACACCUCGUCGCGUUUAAUUCGGCUGGCGACCUUUAGAACUGUCAACUUCCACUGGAACAGCGGCUCCCGGACUGUGGGGAUUUUCACAUUUGGUUUCUUGCUUGCGGUGGACACAAGCUCAGAGUCCCCUGCAAGGAUCGGCAGCAGCGGGUCCCAGCUCUGGGUGCUGCCAGAGUACAGACACCUUUAGCUGCUGGCCUCUCCAGGGAGAGGAAGCCCCUUUGCUCAAGGUCACACUCCUUUUCUCUUUUCUUAUUUUUUAGGGUCGCAUGUGUGGCAUCUGGAAGUGCCCAGGCUAGGGGUCAAAUUGGAGCUGCAGCUGCCAGCUUAUGCCACCGCGAAAGCAACUUGGGAACCAAGCCGCGUCUGUGACCCACACCACAGCUCACAGCAAUGCCGGAUCCUUAACCCACUGAGGGAGGCCAGGGAUCGAACCUGCAUCCUCAAGGUUUGUUACUGCUGAACCACAAUGGGAACUCCAAAGUCACACUCCUUUCUGCAGCCCCCCAGCCAAAGCCGGAUCAACGGGGCAGGGAAGGGGGACUAAAGUAUGGGCCCCAUUUAGGGUAACCCCAAACGGCCGCUGCAGCUUCAGAGCUCACGGUGGCGCCCAUGGAAGUUACCACCGCACUCAUGUGGCUGCUCCACUUCUCAUCCUUCUCAAUCCUGCUUCCAGCAGCCCCCCUUCCACAGGUGCUGGACCUGGAGGCAACUCCUUAGUAAACAUGCUGCCCACUGAACGCCAUCGGCCCCCCAGGAAGCCACGCCUGGGGACUCAACUGUCCGGACAGCGCAGAGCACGAAGAAGACUCACAACCAAUGCCUGCUAAGAAGAACUCUCUGGGGCAGGCACUGCCACGCCCCGCGCUGCACAAAUAACAGGCUAAUAAGACCAGCUUGCGUUUACUCAGGUGAAACUAUUUGACAUGCUCUCUCUUGGUCCUUCUGAGAUGGGCAGGUUUGUUUGUUUGUUUUUUGGUUUCUUGUCCUUUUAAGGUUGCACCCGAGGCAUAUGGAGGUUCCCAGGCUAGGGGUUGAAUCAGAGCUGUAGCUGCCAUCCUACACCACAGCCACAGCCACGCCAGAUCCGAGCCGCGUCUGCAACCUACACCACAGCCCAUGGCAACAUCAGAUCCUUAACCCACUGAGCAAAGCCAGGGAUUGAACUCGCAACCUCAUGGUUCCUAGUUGGGUUCGUUUCCACUGCGCCAUGACGGGAACUCCUGAUGGCUAGCAAGGAGAGUAGGAUUUGGACCCAGAGAAUCUGAUGCUCAAACUACCCUCUUAGCAGCACUUGUGGAAGGAAACUGAGGCUUAGCCAGGGAAAGGAGCUCGCCCCUUGCCAGCCAUUUUGUUUUGUUUUGUCUUUCUAGGGCCACAUCCGCAGCAUCAGGAGGUUCCCAGGCUAGGGGUUGAAUCAGAGCUACAGCUGCCAGCCUACGCCACAGCCACAGCAACGUGGGAUCUGAGCCGCAUCUGUGAUCUACACUACAGCUCACCGCAACACUGGAUCCCCAACCCACUGAGCGAGGCCAGGGAUCAAACCUGCAUGUUCAUGGAUACUAGUCAGUUUCAAAACCCGCCAAGCCAUGGCGGGAAGUCCGUAGGGAGUCCUCUUUUAGAGGGAAGCUUGGAUGUAGAAAGCACCGAGCCAAUCGGACAGGUUGGGGACACGGGCCGUUCUAAGACUUGGAAUGUGCUCCCUGGCCCUCCCCUGCCUGCCUGUGGCUUGUCUCAUGAGGUCUACACAGCAGCCAAAACCCGGCUUCGAAGUGACUCCUCUGAGAAGCCUUCCCCAGCCUCUGCUCCCCACACCCUGACUUCACCCCCACCAAGAUCCUGAAAGGGGACUGGAGGAUCCCCUCUGAGCCAGAGGAUGGAAGUGCCAGGGCAGGGCUGGCCGCACUGAGCAGGGCACGCAGCAGAAUGAAUAAAGGGCAGAAUGAUAGCACAGACUUAGCAGGCACUAUUCCAGGGCUGGGACUAAAUAUUUACCUUGCCCAUUGGGCAAUCCUGAGAGAUAAGCCUGGUUUUUCCGAGCUCUAUUUAUGCAGACUUUCCUUCAGGGACUGACACAAUCAAUCUGGUUUUGUUAGAGUUUGAACAGCUGUUUCCACAUGUGAGGCCUGGGUGUACAAGGUGCUUGAUCCUCUGCUUCCACUGGUCCCCCGAGCACCACGUGUCCCCUCCAGGGAGUCUGUUUUCCAGCCCUCGGGGCCCUAAGUCCCUUUGCCCCUCCGUCCUGCGGGCCUGCCCAGGCUCCAAGGGGCUGCAGGUCCAGGCAGGGUUUCAGGCUAGUUUCAGCUGUGGAUUCACAGCCAUCACAGGUUGAGUGACAUCUGGGCGGCUUGGAGGGUGGUAGGACAGUCCCGCUGGGGUUGGCCGCCUGAGUGGCCCCCUGGGGGUGCCUCUCUUAAGGGAGAGGAGUUGGGCGUGACACGCUGGGCCCAAGUGAGAUUCCAGAGUUGCAGAGGGCGGAGGGCUGCAGAGCUUUGUGUGGCUUCUCUCUCGCUCAGCCUCUGGGAUUCAUGUCGGGGUCAUAAGGGGAGUGGGAGCAACCUCUGAAAAACCAGAAGAGCAAUUGCACCCAAACCCUGGCAUGUGGGGAAAGCGGCUAGGCUUUGGGGACGCUCCCUCGGAGCAGAAGUGACCAGAGUGGGUCCCUCCCCCCAGUGCCCAGUCUGUGGGGGAGGCAGGGGGUGGAGUUGGAUGAAGGGGCCUAAAAGCUCAGGUGGACACCACGUGGCAGCUGAAAGACCCGUUUAAGACACACAGAGGAGUUCCCAUCAUGGCGCAGCAGAAACAAAUCUGACUAGUGCCCAUGAGGAUGCAGGUUCGAUCCCUGGCUUAGCUCAGUGGGUUGGGGAUCCGGCGUGACCGGGAGCCUUGGUGUAAGUUACAGACCUGGCUCAGAUUUGAUGUUGCUGUGGCUGUGGUGUAGGCCUGUCGCUAUAGCUCUAAUUCAACCCCUAGACUGGGAACUUCAUAUGCCUCAGAUGUGGCC
rnacentral:lncRNA from 1 species